AUUGAACGCUGGCGGCAGGCCUAACACAUGCAAGUCGAGCGGAUGAAGGGAGCUUGCUCCUGGAUUCAGCGGCGGACGGGUGAGUAAUGCCUAGGAAUCUGCCUGGUAGUGGGGGAUAACGUCCGGAAACGGGCGCUAAUACCGCAUACGUCCUGAGGGAGAAAGUGGGGGAUCUUCGAACCUCACGCUAUCAGAUGAGCCUAGGUCGGAUUAGCUAGUUGGUGGGGUAAAGGCCUACCAAGGCGACGAUCCGUAACUGGUCUGAGAGGAUGAUCAGUCACACUGGAACUGAGACACGGUCCAGACUCCUACGGGAGGCAGCAGUGGGGAAUAUUGGACAAUGGGCGAAAGCCUGAUCCAGCCAUGCCGCGUGUGUGAAGAAGGUCUUCGGAUUGUAAAGCACUUUAAGUUGGGAGGAAGGGCAGUAAGUUAAUACCUUGCUGUUUUGACGGUACCAACAGAAUAAGCACCGGCUAACUUCGUG
rnacentral:rRNA from 1 species